GUGAAAUUGGAGCAGAGGUGGAGAUUAUUUCUCCAUGUGCAAAACGUGUCUCUCGCACCGCACAAGUCCAUAAAGUGCCAGCAGAGUGUGCGCAGUGCUUGAAGAGCUAGAACACAACAAAUUAGCCUGAGCUGCUUGCUGUGGACUUGGAGAAAAUGUCAGAUGCACGCCGAAACCUUUCAGACUAGGAAAACUGGCAGGAUACAACACAAAGCAAGACAAAUGGACUGCCACUUGAUUGGAAAACCUCACCAGGCCUCUAAUCCAUUUACAUUUCUACAAUAUUAUAACGGAUGCCUCACCCAAUCUCUGAACCAUGAAAUAAGACUUCAAACCAGACUAAAGAAACCACAGAAGAACACAGAGCAAGUCUGAACCUUUAAAUUGCUUUGUUACAGUGAAUUGGAACUUCAGUAAUGUGAGCCCGGUCCUCCCGUCUCCUCUGCUGGUAGGAGUCUCGGCUUCGGGAGGAGGAGGCAGCGCUGGAUAAAUUGCUGCCUGCAUUUCCUCCACCGCCAAACGUGCGGGGGCCCUGACAAGGAAACAACAUUAGGAUCAAUAGAGCUGCAGGGUUGGACAAAAAAUACAAUAAAAGAAACACAACUCUGCAAUUGACAAUGUAAUUAUGAUUUUUUAAUUUG